rnacentral:rRNA from 1 species
GACGAACGCUGGCGGCGUGCUUAACACAUGCAAGUCGAACGAGAGCCCAUGAGUAGCAAUCCACAGCAAGAUCUAGGGGCGAACGGGUGAGGAAAACGAGCGAAACGUACCCCAGACUGUGGGAUAACAGACCGAAAGGACUGCUAAUACCAAAUAACGUCUGCAGUUGGCAUGGACAGCUGACGAGAGGGAUUCCGGUUGGGGAGCGUCAGGCGGACCUAGCAGCUAGGUGGGGGGGUAACGGCCCACCACGGCAACGCCGGGUAGCUGGGCUGUGAGGAUGGUCCCCCACUCUUGGGCUGGGCCACGGUCCAGACUCCUACGGGAGGCAGCAGUGGGGAAUCUUGCGCAAUGGGGGAAGGGCUGACGGAGCUACGCCGCUUGCGCGAAGAUGGCGUUCGGGCUGUAAAGCGCUUUCAGUAGGAGCGAAUCUGACGGUACCUACAGAAGAAGGAGCGGCUAACUACGUG